CGUGAGGGGCUAACGUUGUUCGGUGUCACUGGGCUUAAAGGGUGCGUAGGUGGUUGCGUAAGUAACGUGUGAAAUCCCUCGGCUUACCCGGGGAAUUGCAUGUUAUACUGCGUGGCUUGAGGACUAAAGGGGAAAAGGGAACUCCAGGUGUAGCGGUGAAAUGCGCAGAUAUCUGGGGGAAGGCCGGCGGCGAAGGCGCUUUUCUGGUUAGAUCCUGACACUGAGGCACGAAAGCGUGGGGAGCAAACAGGAUUAGAUACCCUGGUAGUCCACGCCCUAAACGAUGGAUACUACUCAGAAGGACCUGCAAGGGUCUUUUUGACGGAGCAAAAGCGUUAAGUAUCCCGCCUGGGGAGUAUGGUCGCAAGGCUG
rnacentral:rRNA from 1 species